rnacentral:misc_RNA from 1 species
AACGCACAUUGCGCCCUUUGGUAUUCCUUAGGGCAUGCCUGUUCGAGCGUCAUUUCAACCCUCAAGCACAGCUUGGUGUUGGGCGCCUGUCCCGCCUACGGCGUGGACUCGCCUCGAAAUGAUUGGCGGCCCUUCCAGCGGCUCUGAGCGCAGCAGAAUUGCGUCUCUGGCGGCGGGGAGUGGCGACCAGAAGCUUUUUUUUAAGUUUGACCUCGGAUCAGGUAGGGAUACCCGCUGAACUUAA